rnacentral:lncRNA from 1 species
GCACUUUGCUGUGGGACACUGGACGAGUCACCAUCCUACGGGGAUUGUAAAAAGGGCUUGGUGUCCUCUCGCUCACACUUCGUAACUCCACGACCCUCAUGGCGCACACCAGAGGAAAAUCUUGUUGUGGAAUCCUUCAUCAGUAGUGCUGUGAGCUUCAUAUCAUAUCACACCAGGAGGUAUACAAUCUCUAGACAUCCCGUGGUUAGUGAUGCAUGACCGAUCAAUGAAUUCAGAAGGUGGCAGUCUGAUCUCCUCUCCUCCCCCGCUAUAAAGCUUCCCAUCAACCUUUCACCUAGUGCUUCAUCUAUUGGUGAUCAUGAACUGCUGCAAAAUGUCUGAUUGCAUUUUCCCUGUUGACACGUCCUUGAACAAGGACAAUUCUACAUGACCCUGGCAUUGCCACCUACUCAAACCUUUGAUCUGGAAUGCCACAAAUCUAAGAGAUCUUCUAUCCGGUGACAACAGCUCUUUGCAGACAUUGCAAAGUCCUUUUCUGGUUUAAGCUCUGCCUCUGCCAUGUGUUGUAAUCAGCACAGAAUGACAAGGGGUGAGCAGCAGUGUUAGAACAGAUGUGACACACCUGCAGCCUACCACUGCAGCCUGGCCUUUUUGGAGGAAGUCUUCCCUACUUUCUACCAGCCUGGCAACCUGAACAUAGAACAUGACCACAUGAGUCCAGAAGACCUGAAGAGAAGUGUACAGAUUUGGGUUUUCUUCCCAAAGAAGAAGAGGUGGGCAGGAGAAACUUCUUCCUGCUUGUGGAUGCAGUUGUGCGAGAAUAUAAUUCCCAAAGCAACAACAGCAGCCACUUUGUGACCACGAGGUAACCAACCCAAAUGGAAGCCAAUGUGGUAAGGAAGGCAGAACAAAAUUUGUUUAAUACAGAUUUUUAAUGAUCUUAUUAAGCUCUUCGAACCAAGUUUGGAACUACCUUCCUCAGAAUGAAAAAAACAAAAACAACUGGGAAUUCUGUAUCCGAGAUGCUUGUAGCCCGCCUUUCUAGCAUAGGGUACAUUCACUCCAGCUGGUUUACCUCUUGCUAUCAAAAUACAUAGGGCCUUUGUUGGUUGUUUGGAUUUCCUCUCAGUGUUGUGCAGACCAACAAAAUUUGGGGGUAUAUUAAAGUAAAUAUGCUUUAAAA